AUCAGACAGAUCUGGUGAUUUAAUGCCAAGCUACAACAGGAAGCAAUUGCUGGCAUGUCUUCCUUGGCACUAUAAAAUGUGACCAAGAAAAUAGGCAAUCACAGCAAGAAAUCUGUGUUUACUCUAAGAAACUCAGAGUUUAUGGGAAGAUAAGCAACAAAAAUAUUCAGUCAAGUAAAAGAAAAGACAUUAAACACAUUAUUUUACAGAAGAAGACAAUGACAGAUGCAAAUUAUGCAUAAUAAGAAGUGGGACUGUAAAUUAAAUCUUGUCCGAUAAUAUAUACAAACAGAUACAUUUUACAACGGCAUUCAUUCAAAUAUACUUUGUGAUUAUCCAUCAUAUGCCAUGAACUGUAGAAGAGACUUAGCCUGUUAUCUGUGAACAAGAUAAUGGACAUCCUUGCUUUCACGUAACUUACCUUCCACCAGUGGGAAAUGAGCAAUUAGCAAAAUGGACAUUCUAAAUAAACUAUUAUUUUGAAGAUGCUAAGUGUCUUAGAGGACAAGAUGCAAAGAAAGUUGUAUGCUGUGGAUUCAGUCUUCCCUGUUGGACCUACAUGAUGUCUUUCAAGAUGCUAACGAAUUUGAAUUCAAUAAACCUACAAGACGUCAGACAAUACCUAAAAUGAAAACAG